UCGAAAUCGGGAGACGCUACGGACUUAAAAUCCGUCGACUUUAUAAGUCGUGAGGGUUCAAGUCCCUCUAUCCCCA
rnacentral:tRNA from 2 species